CUUUACCAGUGUUGGGGCCAUCCACAUCUAGCGAGUUUGAUGCUACAAGCAAGAAUACUAGUGAUGGACAUCAUGGGAAGACGUGGAAGAAAUCUUGCUUUAAAAAUGUUUAUGUUGAAUCCUACAAAUCCAAUGAUGGCAAAAGGAACUAUUCUAAAAAGAGUUAUUGCUACUAUUGCAAGAACUUGUACAAGUCUAAGAUGUCAAAACACCUAUUUGCUGUCCAUGCAGCAGAACCAAGGGUGAGGAAAAUAAGUCAAAUGGAGCUGAAAAGCAAAAGUAAAAGAGCAGAGCUACAGAAAUUAAAGAAUGAGGGUAACUUCAAUCAUAAUGUUGAGGUUCUUCAGAAAGGAGAGGGGAAUUUGAUUGUGUACAGGAGACCAGGCGUCCCAGCAAAUGCAUAUGACUAUAUUCACUGUCGUUUUUGUAAAGGUUUUUACCAUCACAAACUUCUAUGGUCACAUGUCAAAACCUGCAGUUUCAAACCAGAUGGGGCUGAAAAUGACACUGAGAGAAACUUCAUUAGAGAAG